CGAACAAAAAUCACAUCUUCGUCAUUUUUAUAUUGUUUUGAAGUGAAAAUGAAGAAAGGACCUUUUCGACUGAAACCGCUCCAUCUGCCAAAACAAUCACACGAUUAAUGAAUAUGAAUUGUUUUUGGAUAUCGAGCUGAUUGGAAAAAAAAACAAAACAUUUUCUCAUUUGUCUGGAGAAACCCGUCUCUGACAUUUCUACCUUCACCCUGACACAGAGAAUAUGAGGGAAGAUGACACGGACGCUGUUGUUUCUACUGCUCGUCACUUUGAUCAUGUGAUUUUUAAACGCUGAACUGAUUCCCAUCGACUUUCACUGCAGAUUAAACCGACGUGUGACACGUUCCCUUCGCUUCAGUGUCUCUCACUCUUUCCAUUUGUCUGCUGGAGUCACACUACAGUGUGAAAGCAUGUGGUUCGUGUUCAUGCAGCUGUGGCCACAUCAUCAGCAUCUUACGAAUUUCCUCAAACCCCUUCCAGCUCUGAUGUGACGGCUCUGGUGCCACAUCACAGCGCUCUGACGGGGCAGCACCUCAGUUCUGUAACAGCAGCCCCUUCCCUUCAUUAUGACAUCUGCUUCAGUUUACAGUUAAACAGCCCACGCUGACCGGCCUCACAGGCACUUUGCAGAUUUAUUCUCCUCUGGCAUGAAAAGAGCAAAGAUGACGAAGCAGCGGAACGGUUAGUGUGAGUUAAUCCUGCAGAGCUUUUUGAUUUGAAUUCAACUCUGAAACUUUAUCAAUAAUCUGUUUCUGCUGAGAAGCCUGAGUGCGAGCCGAGAGCCGGCCUCACUGAUGUUCCAGGACGAGGACCUGAGCCAAGCUGUGUGAUCUCAGACCACUGACCACACCACACUCCGCUGUUUCACUUCCUUGACAACAAAUGACACACAAACCUGCGGCCACAUUUACACGUUUCCAGAUUUAUGGUGUAAAUAAAUGAUCGUUCGACUGGCGCUGGUGAAGCGCCGAUAAUUACACGAGCCAGUGCAGCGAUAUUCUGAUUUACUGCCUCAAACACUCACCGCCACCACACCAGGCUAACAAUAACACCACGCUGUUACACUCGCACUCCAGCCACUCGCUUGCAUUUGUUCCAUGAGUCCUCCGAAC